rnacentral:rRNA from 1 species
GAGGGCAAGUCUGGUGCCAGCAGCCGCGGUAAUUCCAGCUCCAAUAGCGUAUAUUAAAGUUGUUGCAGUUAAAACGCUCGUAGUCGGAUUUCGGGGCAGGUUUGCCGGUCUGCCGAUGGGUAUGCACUGGUAGAACUGUCCUUCCUUCCGGAGACGGCGCCUACUCUUAACUGAGCGGGUGUCGGAGACGGAUCGUUUACUUUGAAAAAAUCAGAGUGUUUCAAGCAGGCAGCUCGCUUUUGCAUGGAUUAGCAUGGGAUAAUGAAAUAGGACUUUGGUGCUAUUUUGUUGGUUUCGAACACCGAAGUAAUGAUUAACAGGGACAGUCAGGGGCACUCGUAUUCCGCCGAGAGAGGUGAAAUUCUCAGACCAGCGGAAGACGAACCACUGCGAAAGCAUUUGCCAGGGAUGUUUUCACUGAUCAAGAACGAAAGUUAGGGGAUCGAAGACGAUCAGAUACCGUCGUAGUCUUAACCAUAAACCAUGCCGACUAGGGAUUGGCGGAAGUCCUUUUUUGACUCCGUCAGCACCUUAAGGGAAACUAUAGUCUUUGGGUUCCGGGGGGAGUAUGGUCGCAAGGCUGAAACUUAAAGGAAUUGACGGAAGGGCACCACCAGGAGUGGAGCCUGCGGCUUAAUUUGAC